GCAUAUCCCCAAGUCCCCAACCCAAUUCCUCCAAGCGCCGAGGCUGCCAACCACAGACAUAAUAAAUAAUCCGUGCAUAAUGCAGACCAGAGGGCAGUAUCAGCUCAUCCAAAUCCCAAUUUCGUCGUCUUCACAGUUCACAUAGCACCAAUUCACCAGUCACCACACGCUCCCCACCCUUUGCUUCCACCAACGCCAAGAAUAGUAGCACAAGCAACAGCAGCAGCUGUUCCUAAAGACCGAAGGGUCUAAACGACCCGGUCCAGUUGCAGCAGGACAAGGUCCCCCAGUUUGAAACAUCCUAGUAGUACCAGUACCAGUACAAGUACAAUAUAUAGUACUACUGUACUACUACUCCAUUAUUCUUCUUGCUCCAAUGGCGGUUGUAGUAGCAAAUGGGCGUCCAUUAAUUACGGCUCUCAUCUCUUGCAAUUUGCCACAUAUCAAGUUCUUGCUCGGUGGUGGUGCUCCCACCAGUUGUCGUACACCUUCCUUCUCCUCCUCGCUACCGAACACUACACUCAAAAGUGCAACUGCACCGCACCAUCUUUGGAAUUUUAAGCCCUCGGCAUCUCGGUAUCUCCCUCCUGUCCUUGUUUUUAAGUGUAGGUUCAAAUGCUUUCAGCAUCAGGGUCCUGAAAGUGAUGAGUCUUCCACAUCUAAGGACAAACCAGAGGGACAACAUAAGGCUGCUGAUGAUGUAAUGCAAAGUUUGAAAGGCAAAGCAGCUAGUGGAGAAAUCUCAUUUCUGUCAAAACUAGUGGUACUCCUGGCUGUGGCUCUGGCAAUUACAGUGCUAUCCAUUGGCUUUAGACAGCCUCAUCAAAGAUCUCUGCUUGGCAUUCAACAUUUAGUUGAUAGUUCAUCUGCUCCCGCUUUAAGUACACAUGCUGUUGGUUUUUCUUUUAGAGCUUUUGGAUACAGAAUUAUACUUCCAGAAUAUGCUCCAGGGUGGAUCUACUUCUGGCUUCUGAUGGCUGCAGGAUGCGGUCUUUUCAUAAGUGAAGAGGCUUUAAAUAUAUGGGUUGGCAUCACUUUAGCGCGGAUGCUUUCACUGGAUGGCACAUGGCAUUCUUUUCUUGAUUCAUUCUCUAGGAACGCUCACUACAUUGUAUCCACGGUUUUAUGGGUUUACUGGGGAGUUUGCAUUAGUGAUAUGAUACCAUUUUACCUUGGCAAGCUUUUCAGACAAUCUGGGGCAUCCGAUGAUGUUUCUUCAAAGUUAGGAAUUGGCAGAGAGAAAGCAUUGAAAAUCACGCGCGUUGUCCAAAAAUAUGGAAAUCUAGUUGGUGUUGUUGAACGGUUCUCGUUAGGUGUGAGGAAUCCUACAGCAUUUUUAGCAGGUGCAAUGGUGCUGACUAGGAAAAGGUUGUUACCGCAUGCUAUGCAUACUAAGCUUUGGUGUCGGAGCAGAAUGAGUUAACAGUUUGAAACAAAGCAUUCCUUCUAUCUUGAUGCGUCAUGGCAAUUACCGAUUUCUUGCAUCUUGCUGUCAAAGUAAUCAAGCUGGGAAGCUUCAGUCUAUCUUGCAUUUGCAUUUGCACUGUAAAAUUUUCUGUUUUGAUGUCUCUGUCUUCUCUGGAUGUUGGGAACCAUUAGUUUAUGCAGCAAAGGCAAUAUGAUCACCAGUGUGGUACCUCGAAUUGAGAGUGCAACCACUUCAUGGUUCUUCUUUUUAUGUUUUUAUGUAGUUAGUUUUUUUAAAGUUCCUAACUAGUUUUUAAAUGUCGUAAACUUACUUGUUGCUGGAACUCAACUAUUAUGCGGAUUUUUAUGUCAUCACUGCAAACUAUGUGGAUUUUUAUGCCAUAACUGCAGUGUGUUUUUCCUGAAGUACGACUUUUUUGCAGGGUAUAUCACCUGAGUUUUUCUUUGCCGGUGUCUGUUGUGGUGGUCUUAUAACACUUCCACUUCAGUUGGGGAUUGGAUUCUUAUUCAGAGACCGUCCAGUGUUUGCCCUUGCCACUGUUGCAACUGUAGUGGGAAUCUGGACUAUCAUCCCAUAUGCUGCAGCUGCUUUGACAGCAUUGUUCCUUUAUCUGCGACGUAAGAACUUCAGUUAGUUGUGGUUUCUGUUUCUAAGUUCACCAUUUCCUGGGGUACACAGCCUGGAAACUAUCAAUACGUGCUUGUAAAGGGACUAACUACUGCAGAGAAAAAUCAGGGUAUGGAUGGUUUUGCAACAGCUUGUUGAAUAACCACCGCCAGACACCCUUUUAAGUGAAGGCUUUACAGAUUUGGUUAGGGAACUUGCAAUCAUGCACUCACCGUAUAAUUGCUUGAAAGCUGGCAUCUGUCCCUGUAACUUCCGUAAAAUAGGGUACCUUAUAUAUUCAAGGGCCAAGUUGGGCAUGAAAGAUCUUUUUGGCAUAUUGUUUUUGGUCAUACCUGUUGCUCUCUCAGAUUGAGUCAAUCAAGGCAAAAUACUUAUUUA